UACGGAGGGUGCAAGCGUUAUCCGGAUUCACUGGGUUUAAAGGGAGCGUAGGUGGCUUUGUAAGUCAGUGGUGAAAUAUUGCGGCUCAACCGCAAAACUGCCAUUGAUACUGCUUAGCUUGAAUCACGUCGAGGUGGAUGGAAUAAUACAUGUAGCGGUGAAAUGCUUAGAUAUGACACAGAACACCGAUUGCGAAGGCAGCUCACUAAACUGUAACUGACGCUGAGGCACGAAAGCGUGGGGAGCAAACAGG
rnacentral:rRNA from 1 species